UACGGAAUGUGCAAACGUUAUUCGGAAUCACUGGGCUUAAAGAGUCCGUAGGCGGCAUGUUAGGUGAGGUGUGAAGUCCCCCGGCUCAACCGAGGAAUUGCGCUUCAAACCGGCGUGCUCGAGGAAGAUAGAGGUGGGCGGAACUGAUGGUGGAGCGGUGAAAUGCGUUGAUAUCAUUAGGAACACCAGAGGCGAAGGCGGCUCACUGGGUCUCAACUGACGCUGAUGCACGAAAGCUAGGGUAGCGAACGGG
rnacentral:rRNA from 1 species